CUUGGUGCUAACAUAGGUCCCUAGUACUGACACUUGGUGCUAACAUAGGUCCCUAGUCCUGACACUUGGUGCUAACAUAGGUCCCUAGUCCUGACACUUGGUGCUAACAUAGGUCCCUAGUCCUGACACUUGGUGCUAACAUAGGUCCCUAGUCCUGACACUUGGUGCUAACAUAGGUCCCUAGUCCUGACACUUGGUGCUAACAUAGGUCCCUAGUCCUGACACUUGGUGCUAACAUAGGUCCC